AACAAUGGUGGGAGAGCACUGUGAAUGAAGGUCUUCCCACAAAACGCUGGUAGAGGAAAUAUUUAACCGAAAAGGCUUUCCUGACAGAAGAUGCUGAUAUGGAGGUGAACCGGCCAGUGAGUAGCUAAAAGACCUGCUGUGUGCGAUGGACAGGCAAGCUCGAGAGAGGGCAGGCAAGGAGUCCCUGGGCCACGGAAGCGGCCAUCGCCACAGAUCUCUUCCCGUUGCUGGAACCACAGAGAGGUCACCAGUCUCCCAGGCACACAACCAAAGCUCCGCUCGCUCUGCUGCCGGGCUUCCAGGUGGUCCACGCCGUGUACUGAACCUACCCACACUUUGCUCAGAGUAGUAUGGCUGGGCCACCAUCCUUAAGUCUGAUUAGUGCAGAUUUAAUCCCCACCGGGUAUGUGACCAGACCCUCACUAGGAAGCCCAGUAACUAUCAAGAUGCAGAGCAAAGAGAGUGUGUCUGAAAACUAAAAACUUUUGCUCCAAAAUGUACCUUUCUUGUAUCAUAUUGUAUAGCCAAUUAAAACUGCCAAAUGGUU